UAAGAGGUCUCGCCUGCCCUGUGACUAUAUGUUUAACGGCCGCGGUAUUUUAACCGUGCGAAGGUAGCGCAAUCACUUGUCUUUUAAAUGGAGACCUGUAUGAAUGGCACGACGAGGGCUUAACUGUCUCCUUUCCCCAGUCAAUGAAAUUGAUCUCCCCGUGCAGAAGCGGGGAUAUAAACAUAAGACGAGAAGACCCUAUGGAGCUUUAGACACUAAAGCAGGUUACGUUAAAAAUAGCUAAACACAGAACUAAACUAAAUAACCACUGCCCUAAUGUCUUUGGUUGGGGCGACCGCGGAGAACAAAAAACCCCUGUGUGGAAUGGGAGUAUAGCUCCUAGAAACAAGAGCGCCAGCUCUAGUUAACAGAAUUUCUGACCUACCAGACCCGGCACCUAGCCGAUCAACGGACCGAGUUACCCUAGGGAUAACAGCGCAAUCCCCUUUUAGAGACCGUAUCAACAAGGGGGCUUACGACCUCGAUGUUGGAUCAGGACAUCCUAAUGGUGCAGCCGCUAUUAAGGGUUCGUUUGUUCAACG
rnacentral:rRNA from 1 species